rnacentral:rRNA from 1 species
GACGUAGGGCGCGAGCGUUGUCCGGAUUUAUUGGGCGUAAAGAGCUCGUAGGCGGCUUGUUGCGUCGACUGUGAAAACCCGCGGCUUAACUCUGAGCUUGCAGUGGGUACGGGCAGACUAGAGUGCGGUAGGGGAGACUGGAAUUCCUGGUGUAGCGGUGAAAUGCGCAGAUAUCAGGAGGAACACCGGUGGCGAAGGCGGGUCUCUGGGCCGUAACUGACGCUGAGGAGCGAAAGCAUGGGGAGCGAACAGG